GCCCCUGCCUGAGCGAUGCGGGCAGCUAGCGGGCGAUCGUUAUAGCACCGAUACCCCGCCCCCCGGCCCCGCCCCGCGCCCCGCUCUGUCUCACCGCACCGCCUGUUCGUACGCAGUUCAGGUAAAUGAAUUACCUCCAAUAAAGUGGGAAUGAUUCCGUUAGCGAAAAGCGGCAUCGAGGCCACCGCUGCCGCCGCCACCGAAUGUUUGUGCAGCGGUUUGGCGCCAAAAGUCGCAGUGCCGCGCCUCACUUCCGCUUUGCCCGCUGGCCAGAGGUCGCGUGACUGGGGAAGGAGCGACACACACACACACACACACACACACACACACACACACACACACACACACACACACACACACACACACACACACGUUAAAUGUAACCAGGUAAUGCGGUGUCUGCCUAUGCCUAUUCUCCUCCUUCCCUUCCCCCCUCCCUCCCUCCCUCCCUCUCACCCACCCUCCUGUACCUUCCUCCCUCCUCUCCUGUCGGGAUCGUGGAAUCAGUAGUUCACGUGUCCCGGCCUCGGCACCACUUGGGUGUCGGAGGGAGGGACGGAGGGAGGUAGGGGGAGGCAGGAGGUGAGGGAUGGAGGGAGGGAGACAGUACAGACUUUGGCAAGGCAUCACGCGGCGGGCACUGGAUCAUGUGAGGCAGACACCUCCAGCAGGCGGUGCUUGGGAUUGCCAGCCAGGGAGUGAGACGCGACACAACGGAACACUUGGAAGGGAAUGGAGACGAGGUUCAGACAAUUGGUUCUUCGCGAAUGACUGGCCUACAUAUUUCCAUCCCAACUACAGAUUGCCUUUCGCUUUGUCUCAGCUGGCCACGACAACAAUCACAACUUGGUGUUAGAGAACAGAGUAUACACAGUUAUCAUUUCUUUUAGCUUUAGUCCUUUCAUAGCUUGGUUGUUUUUUUCUUAUUAUCACCAACAAGAAUAAUUUUCUACCUUAAAAAAAAGGCUGAAAAUAGACAAUAAACAGUGAUAUACUGCAGCCUUGAAUAUUUUUAUACCCUAGAAAAGAUUAAAUAGACUAUUGACGAUAAGGUACUACUGUCUUAGAUAGUCUUAUCCUAUGAGCAAGAUUAGAUUAACAUUUUAUUCUUUCCUUCCUUACAUUUAUCCAUGCAAAGAAGCACAACCAUAGCAAUAAAUCACUACAUCAGAGGAGAGAUUAUUGGAAACAGGAAAUAUCUUUGAAAAUCUGACUUGAGGGGACGCUUCGUGAUUGGCUGCGAUAGGUUACAAGUCAGCCAAUGGGAGAACAGCAGUCGGCCUCCUUGAGAUGACACCCCUUGCCAACACAUGAGAUAAGAGUGAAGGAUGAAGUAAUAAUAGUCACUCUGCUGAUCACAUCACUAAUACGAGACGGACACUUAUAUUACCGCGCUGUAGAAGUGUGUGUGUGUGUGUGUGUGUGUGUGUGUGUGUGUGUGUGUGUGUGUGUGUGUGUGAAAUGUUGUCAUCAGUAAACUUAGCAGGUUGAUGAAAAAAAAUGGAAUAUAAAUAAACAUAAGAAAGAAAUCAAAGACGUGUACUAGAAUUAGAAAAACGGCAAUAAUAAAAUAAUCUGCUUUAAAUAUUUUUCACUACAUCCACAAAAAUACUGUACUAGAUCAACAAUAUGAGGAGACUACUACGUAAAUAAAUUUCAUCCCGAGUUAUAGAGGAGGAUUUAUAACAAGAAGUCUCAGAAGGACGAAGACGUAUUUGUAUCAAUCUUUUUUUUUUCUUUUUUUUUCGCAGGGAAGAGGGCCAGCCAAGGGCAAAAGAAAAGGAAAGAUUAAAAAUAAAGGCCCACUUGAGUGUUGCCUCAUAGAAUUAACUUUGGGGGCAUAUUCUCAAGAUUGGUGGUCUCAUCUGUCACUUGUAUUGGGUGCUGCUUGAAGUUGCUGGUUUUCAAGGGUGUUUACAUCAUUAUUGUGGCAGUUCUACAAAUUUUCUACGCGCCUUUCAGAUUAUGGUAAAAAUUAUUAGUUUGUAGUUUUCCGUUAUUCUAUUGAUAGCUUAACAAGAAUUCCUUACUUCAAUGCUGAGAUUUUACCUUUCUUUCACAUUAUGGUGGAAAUUAUUAUUUUUCAAGAGUGUUUUCCUUGAUUCUCUUAAUAUAGUUUGACAAGAAUUCUUUAUUUCUAUGCAAAGAUUUUACCUUUUCUCUCACAUUAUAGUGGAAAUGACUAGUUUUCAAAGGUGUUUUCCGUGGUUUUCUUAAUAGUUUAACAAGAAUUCCGUACUUCUGUGCAAAGAUUCUACGUUGGUGAGAAUGUUGGAGUUUUCAAGAGUGUUUCCAUGAUUCUGUUAAUAGUUUGACAAGGAUUCCACACUUCUCGCAGGUUCUAAUGGAUGGUAUUUGAUUUCUCAAGUUUGAUUUUAUGAUUCCAUUAAUAGUAUAACAAGAAUUUAUACGGCUGUACGACUAUAAUGGAAGUGGCUGGUUUGCAAGGGCGUUUUCAUGACUUCAGGGAUAGUUUUAGUAAAGAUCAUACCCUUCGUUCAGGCUGUAUUGGGAAUUAUUGUAUUUUUUCAUGCGUGUUUUCAUUGUUCUAUGGACAGAUCAACGAGAAUAGUGAAAGUUAGUGGAAAUUAUUAGUUUUCAUGGUUGUUUCCAAUAAUUUUCUACCAUCAAUGCGAAAAACACUCGAAAGAACUUGACUGAUCAUCCCUGUGGCCUCUGAAAAUGAUCCCGAUAAGAGAAUGAACGCCUCGGAACACAAGCCGUGGUGCUGCGAGGCGAGGCGUGGGAAGGAACUCUGUCACCUGCUCUACUGUUUCCCACCGCUCUCAGUCCCCACUCCUAUGACGCGCCGGAGAGCAAGUGACGUGCAGUGGUCAGAAGAGAGGAGUUUGUGUGCACGCGGUGAUGUUGGCGUGGCUGCUGUACUGGAAAACUAAACUCAGAAACAACAUCUCUAAGAAUAAUAGAUAGAGGAAACUAGAAGGAAGGAAAAUGACUGAAAAAAAAUAUGUUAUGAAUGAAAAGCAUAAACGUGAGAUACAUUUAGUCUGCAACGAAGAAAAAAAAAGAUGUAUGAAUAUUAGAACACUAUUAAAUUGACACUUGGACUGGAACUAUAAAAGAUAAAUGAAAAGGCUAAAGAAAACGAAAAAGAGAAAAGAAUCAGCAAA